rnacentral:rRNA from 1 species
GGCGAGUGGCGAACGGGUGAGUAAUAUAUCGGAACGUACCCAAGAGUGGGGGAUAAACGUAGCGAAAGUUACGCUAAUACCGCAUACGAUCUAAGGAUGAAAGCAGGGGACCGCAAGGCCUUGUGCUCCUGGAGCGGCCGAUAUCUGAUUAGCUAGUUGGUGAGGUAAAGGCUCACCAAGGCGACGAUCAGUAGCUGGUCUGAGAGGACGACCAGCCACACUGGAACUGAGACACGGUCCAGACUCCUACGGGAGGCAGCAGUGGGGAAUUUUGGACAAUGGGCGCAAGCCUGAUCCAGCAAUGCCGCGUGAGUGAA